rnacentral:rRNA from 1 species
UUAGUUUCUUAAUUGGGAAAUAGGAUGAAUGGUUUCACUAAAAUAUAGUUUUUAUCCUCAUUUGCGAAAUUUUAAUCUAAGUGAAAAUACUUAGCAGUUGUACUAGGACGAGAAGACCCUAUGAAGCUGGCAAACUAUUAAUACAUAUUCCUAUUAUUUAUUAGUUUAUUUUUUGGGGUAAAAUUUAAUAAUACUAUUAACACAAUUGUACUAAAUUACAUCCUUUAGGAAUUAUGAAUAAGCUCCUCUAGGGAUAACAGCAUUAUGCUUAAAAGAGUUCUUAUCAGAAUAAGCGUUUGUGACCUCGAUGUUGAAUUAAAUGCUCUUUUAUGUGCAGGAGCUUAGAAGAG